rnacentral:ribozyme from 13 species
ACUUUUUUUUUUUUUUUUUUUUUUUUUUUUUUUUUUUUUUUUUUUUUUCCGCUUAGGGUACACCUUGUUGGCGUGAC